rnacentral:rRNA from 1 species
CCUACGGGAGGCAGCAGUGGGGAAUAUUGCACAAUGGGCGCAACCCUGAUGCAGCGACGCCGCGUGAGUGAAGAAGGCUUUCGGUUUGUAAAGUUCUAUCAGCAGGGACGAAAAUGGUGAUACUUGAUUAAGAAUCCCCUGCCAAAAACUUGCCAGCAUCCGCGGUAAUACGUCGGGGGCAAGCGUUAUCCGGAAUUACUGGGUGAAAAGGGAGCGGAGACGGCAGUGCAAGUCUGGAGUGAAAUGCCCGGGCUUAACCUCGGAACUGCUUUGGAAACUGUGGAGCUAGAGUGCAGGAGAGGCAGGUAGAAUUCCUAGUGUAGCGGUGAAAUGCGUAGAUAUUAGGAGGAACACCAGUGGCGAAGGCGGCUUACUGGACUGUAACUGACGUUGAGGCGCGAAAGCGUGGGGAGCAAACAGGAUUAGAUACCCCAGUAGUC